UACGUAGGGUGCAAGCGUUGUCCGGAAUUAUUGGGCGUAAAGAGCUCGUAGGCGGUCUGUCGCGUCUGCUGUGAAAACCCCGAGGCUCAACCUCGGGCCUGCAGUGGGUACGGGGCAGACUAGAGUGCGGUAGGGGAGAAUGGAAUUCCCGGUGUAGCGGUGAAAUGCGCAGAUAUCGGGAGGAACACCGGUGGCGAAGGCGGUUCUCUGGGCCUUACCUGACGCUGAGGAGCGAAAGCGCGGGGGAGCGAACAGG
rnacentral:rRNA from 1 species